CUGUCUCUGUCGGUCUCUGAGUCUCUGUGUCUCUCUUUCUCUCUGUCUCUGUCGUUGUCUCUCUGUGUCUCUCUGUGUCUCUCUCUCUGUCUGUCUCUGUCGGUCUCUGUGUCUCUGUGUCUCUCUUUCUCUCUGUCUCUGUCGCUGUCUCUCUCUCACACUAUCUCUCUCUCCUUUCUAUCCCUUUCUUUCUUUCUCUCUCGCUCUUCCCUCAUAUAAGCUCUAAGAACACUGCAGUUGGGGCACAGAUCACCCAUUCUAUCAUUUUCACUUCAGUUCACUUCAGUGAGGAAGGAGAGGUGGAGAGAGGGAGGUGGAGAGAGGCAGGUGGAGAGAGGCAGGUGGAGAGAGGGAGGUGGAGAGAGGCAGGUGGAGAGAGGCAGGUGGAGAGA
ensembl:lncRNA